rnacentral:tRNA from 3 species
GCCGCAAUAGCUCAGUUGGUAGAGCACAUCAUUCGUAAUGAUGGGGUCGGGGGUUCGAAUCCCUCUUGCGGCACCA